GUCUUCGUGAAAAGGAGAGAUAGUUGGCAUCUCCCGUGAGAGGGGAACAGCCUUCGGGCUUUCCUGUUACACACCUCGGGGAGAAUAUAAUAAUAGCAAACCGUUCGCCUCCUUCAAACUGGUCUAAGAUGGACCGAUCUUUU
rfam:Medicago truncatula strain A17 chromosome 4, whole genome shotgun sequence.